rnacentral:rRNA from 1 species
UGGGGAAUUUUGGACAAUGGGCGAAAGCCUGAUCCAGCAAUGCCGCGUGUGUGAAGAAGGCCUUCGGGUUGUAAAGCACUUUUGUCCGGAAAGAAAUCCUUGGCUCUAAUACAGUCGGGGGAUGACGGUACCGGAAGAAUAAGCACCGGCUAACUACGUGCCAGCAGCCGCGGUAAUACGUAGGGUGCAAGCGUUAAUCGGAAUUACUGGGCGUAAAGCGUGCGCAGGCGGUUUGCUAAGACCGAUGUGAAAUCCCCGGGCUCAACCUGGGAACUGCAUUGGUGACUGGCAGGCUAGAGUAUGGCAGAGGGGGGUAGAAUUCCACGUGUAGCAGUGAAAUGCGUAGAGAUGUGGAGGAAUACCGAUGGCGAAGGCAGCCCCCUGGGCCAAUACUGACGCUCAUGCACGAAAGCGUGGGGAGCAAACAGGAUUAGAUACCCUGGUAGUCCACGCCCUAAACGAUGUCAACUAGUUGUUGGGGAUUCAUUCCUUAGUAACGUAGCUAACGCGUGAAGUUGACCGCCUGGGGAGUACGGUCGCAAGAUUAAAACUCAAAUGAAUUGACGGGGUCAUAGCUGUUUCCU